GAUGAACGCUGGCGGCGUGCCUAAUACAUGCAAGUCGAGCGAACAGACGAGGAGCUUGCUCCUCUGACGUUAGCGGCGGACGGGUGAGUAACACGUGGAUAACCUACCUAUAAGACUGGGAUAACUUCGGGAAACCGGAGCUAAUACCGGAUAAUAUAUUGAACCGCAUGGUUCAAUAGUGAAAGACGGUUUUCCUGUCACUUAUCGAUGGAUCCGCGCCGCAUUAGCUAGUUGGUAAGGUAACGGCUUACCAAGGCGACGAUGCGUAGCCGACCUGAGAGGGUGAUCGGCCACACUGGAACUGAGACACGGUCCAGACUCCUACGGGAGGCAGCAGUAGGGAAUCUUCCGCAAUGGGCGAAAGCCUGACGGAGCAACGCCGCGUGAGUGAUGAAGGUCUUCGGAUCGUAAAACUCUGUUAUUAGGGAAGAACAAAUGUGUAAGUAACUAUGCACGUCUUGACGGUACCUAAUCAGAAAGCCACGGCUAACUACGUG
rnacentral:rRNA from 1 species